GAUGAACGCUGGCGGCGUGCCUAAUACAUGCAAGUCGAGCGAAUGGAUUAAGAGCUUGCUCUUAUGAAGUUAGCGGCGGACGGGUGAGUGACACGUGGGUAACCUGCCCAUAAGACUGGGAUAACUCCGGGAAACCGGGGCUAAUACCGGAUAACAUUUUGAACCGCAUGGUUCGAAAUUGAAAGGCGGCUUCGGCUGUCACUUAUGGAUGGACCCGCGUCGCAUUAGCUAGUUGGUGAGGGAACGGCUCACCAAGGCAACGAUGCGUAGCCGACCUGGGAGGGUGAUCGGCCACACUGGGACUGAGACACGGCCCAGACUCCUACGGGAGGCAGCAGUAGGGAAUCUUCCGCAAUGGACGAAAGUCUGACGGAGCAACGCCGCGUGAGUGAUGAAGGCUUUCGGGUCGUAAAACUCUGUUGUUAGGGAAGAACAAGUGCUAGUUGAAUAAGCUGGCACCGUGACGGUACCUAACCAGAAAGCCACGGCUAACUACGUGCCAGCCGCCGCGGUAA
rnacentral:rRNA from 1 species